CCUACGGGUGGCAGCAGUGGGGAGUAUUGGACAAUGGGGGGAACCCUGAUCCAGCCAUGCCGCGUGUGUGAAGAAGGCCCUCGGGUUGUAAAGCACUUUCAGUGAGGAAGAACGCCUGGUGGUUAAUACCCAUCAGGAAAGACAUCACUCACAGAAGAAGCACCGGCUAACUCCGUGCCAGCAGCCGCGGUAAUACGGAGGGUGCGAGCGUUAAUCGGAAUUACUGGGCGUAAAGCGCGCGUAGGUGGCUUGAUAAGCCGGUUGUGAAAGCCCCGGGCUCAACCUGGGAACGGCAUCCGGAACUGUCAAGCUAGAGUGCAGGAGAGGAAGGUAGAAUUCCCGGUGUAGCGGUGAAAUGCGUAGAGAUCGGGAGGAAUACCAGUGGCGAAGGCGGCCUUCUGGACUGACACUGACACUGAGGUGCGAAAGCGUGGGUAGCAAACAGGAUUAGAUACCCUUGUAGUC
rnacentral:rRNA from 1 species